UAAGUUGUCCGUAUGUCCAAGUAGCCUUAGCUGCUUGAUGCGUGGUCCUCGUGCGGGUUCCGUGGUAUAGAAUCCUUUAUGAAGAUUAUGUUGGAGAGAUAACUGUCUCUCUUAUCACUGGCCUUGUGGUACAGUGGUAUAGAAUUAAUAAUUCAAAGUGUUUACGGCUGGUUGCCGGAGCAAGGUUUAUUAACAAGCGUUAGCUUUCGUUAUAAGAACAGAACUAAAACUAGGAGCCACCAGCAAGCUGGGGCAUAAGCUGAAUCAAAAGUAUUUAAUUGCCAAA